rnacentral:lncRNA from 1 species
UUUUUCUUUUUCUUUCUUUUUUUUUCUUUUCUUUUUACGCCCCACCUGGGGUGUAUGGAAGUUCCCAGUCUAGGGGUCAAGUUGGAGCUGUAGCUGCCGGCCUACACCACAGCAACAGCAAUGCGGGAUCCGAGCCACAACCUACACCACAGCUCAGAGCAAUGCCAGAUCCUUAACCCACUGAGCGACGCCAGUAUCUUCCUGGAUGCUAGUGGGGUUCUUAAUCCAGUGAGUCACAACAGAAACUCCCCGCAGCUCUUGCUUUAAAACAAAAUCUAAUCAUGUCUCCUCCCCAACUUAAAGCCCUCCAAUGUCUUCUCACUGCUUUUAAGAUAAAACCUAACUUAUAUGCCCCACAAGGCCCAGCAUGAUCUGACUCCUGCCCAGUUACCCAGCUACACAAAUGGUCCAGCCCCUGCUGUCUGUGAGCAUUUAUGUCAGCUGCUACUUUGGAGGAUGCUGUUCCUCAGGUGUGCACUUGGCUCCCCUCCCUCCUUUUCAUCCUUGAGUCUCAGCUCAAACACCACUUCCUCAUUCAGAAAAGCCUUACUUGCCCACCUUGUGUGCCCUUUUCCAAGCUGCUUUUCCUCAAUAUCCUGCUAAUUUCCUUAGUGUGCUCUCAUAACCUGUUAUCUUCUUCCUUUGUUCAUUACUUUUAUAUUUGCAUUUCCAUUUCUUUCCACCAGGUCUGAGACUUUAUCUGUUUCGUUCAUCACUGGAUGUCCCAUCACUUACUGUAUGCUUACCACAGGGACCAGCACAUAAUACAUAUUCAAUAAAGGCUUCCCAAAUGCAUACACAAAUAAAUGAAUGAAUGCUUAGAUAAAUGAUCUUUUUUCAUGCUAACUUCCCAUUGUCCUAAAUCCAGCCCUGGACAGGAAUCUCUUGCUCUGUUCUGCUAGCUGGUGUAUUUUGGGAUAGGAUGGCCCACUGGGAGACUCAGCUCAUGAACGGGGACACUCAGAAGGAAUCCAAGGACACAAACUGAAAGCACCAGAGACUUACCUUAGAAUACUUCCUGAAGGGUCUACUGAGGUCAGGCAGGCGUGCACUCCAGACAAUGGGGGGCACUGGCAAUGCUGGAGCUCCAUACAAAUAAAUCCACAAGUUGCAGGGUUGGGUGAUGGAAGGGUUGUGCUGUCUCAUACCUGCAUCUGGAGAACAUUCAGGUGUUUUGAUGGUGCUGGUUUCCUGGGCCAGCCUGGGGAAAUCAGUGAAGAGUGGCAAGGGGCAGCCCAGGACAGUGUGGUUGCCCACAGAAACACUCUACUUGGUAACUCAGUACUUCUAAUGGAAAGGCUUUCCAACUCUACUUCUUAUGUAAAUGAAACCGUAGCCAAGGAGAGACCAGAGAAACUAGCCCAGCACCUUCAGGACAGGAAAAGGUCUACAGGUCCCCUGGUUUACUAUCAAAUGAGUGUUAAGACAGAAUUCUCCUUAAUACCUAACCAACACUCCUUCUUUUACAGGGAACACAUUAAUAAAACCUUAAAUACACACAUAUAUGGUCAACAAAUUUUCAACAGUGAUGCCAAGAAUACACAAUAGGAAAAAGAUACUCUCUUCAAUAAAUGGUGUUGGGAAAUCUGGAUAACCACAUGCAAAAGAAUAAAACUGGAUGCUUAUCUUACUUCAUAUACAAAAAUCAACCCAACAUGGAUUAAAGGCUUAAAUGUAUGACCUGAAACCAUAAAAUUCCUAGAAGAAAACUCCUUGACACUGCUCUUGGUAAUGAUUUCUUUGGAUAUGACAUUAAAAGCACAAGCAAAAAAAGCAAAAUUUAAAAAGUGAUACUACAGGAGUUCCCAUCGUGGCGCGGUGGUUAACGAAUCUGACUAGGAACCAUGAGGUUGUGGGUUCGAUCCCUGGCCUUGCUCAGUGGGUGAAGGAUCCUGCGUUGCUCUGUGGUGUAGGUUGCAGAUGUGGUUUGGAUCACACGUUGCUGUGGCUCUGGUAUAGGCUGGUGGCUACAGCUCCGAUCAGACCCCUAGCCUGGGAACCUCCAUAUGCUGCAGGAGCAGCCCAAAAAAUGGAAAAAUAAACAAACAAGCAAACAAAAAAAUGAGAAGGACUAGCUACCCAGAGAUUUAUGACUCAGAUCAUGUUCCAAUCACAAAUGAGACAUGACAGCUACUUAGAACCAUGUGAUGAAGACAAUCAUCUCUGAAAACAGAAGGUCACCUCUUCCCCAGCAUGCGCCUCUUCCCUCUUUCCCCUAUAUAAUCUCUGAACAAAACCUGGGAGUUGGGAGAAUUAGUUAUUUGGGACAUGAGUCCACCUUCUCCCCAGGAUUGCCAGCUUCCUCACUAAAGCCCUCUUUCCUUUUACUCAACAUUUGUCUCUUAGUAUUGGAUUCUUAAGUAAUGAGCAGCUGAAUCUGAGGUCUGUAACAAAACUACAAAUCUUCUGCACACCAAAGAAAACCAUCAACAAAGUGAAAAGGCAAUCUGUGGAAAGAGAGAAAGUAUUUGUAAACCAUCUAUCUGAUAAGAGGUUAAUACCCCAAAAUAUAUAAGAAUUCUUAUAACUCAAUGGAAAAAUAAAACAAAACAAAAACCAAACAUCCCAAUUAAAAAAUGGGAAAGGAACUGAAGAAACAUUUUACCAAAGAGGACAUCCAAAUGGCCAAUGGGUAUAGGCAAAGGUGUUCAACAUCGCAAAUCAUCAGAGAAAUGCAAAUCGAAAGCACAAUGAGAUAUAUCACCUCAGACCUGUUAGGAGGUCUAUUAUCAAAAAGACAAGGGAUAACAACUACUGGCCAAGAUGUGGAGAAAAGGGAAAACUUGUACACUGCUGGUGGGACUGUAACUGGUUCAGCCACUAUGGAAAACAGUAUGGAGGUUCCUCAAGAAAUUUAAAAUAGUCUUCCUAGAACAGAUGCUGACUCACAGACAUUGAAAAACUUAUGGUCUCCGGAGGAGACAGUUUGGAGGGUGGGGGGAUGUGCCUGGGCUGUGGGAUGGAAAUCCUGUGAAAUCAGAUUGUUAUGAUCAUUAUACAACUACAGAUGUGAUAAAUUCAUUUGAGCAACAACAACAAAAAAAAAAAAAUGAAAAAAAAAAAAAGACACAAACCAGGCCUUCAAAGAGCUUACAAUUCUAAUUCAAAUAUUUGUAAAACUCACUACUACAGAUAGAAUAGAUGGGUAACAGGGACCUACUGCAUAGCACAGGGAAAUUUACUCAGUAUUGUGUGGUAACUUCUAUGUGGAAAAAAAAAAUCUGAAAAGGAAUGGAUAUAUGUAUAUAAAGUAUGGUUUACCUCGCUGUGUGCCUGAAAUUAGCACAGCUUUGUUAAGUCAACUAUAUUCCAAGAAAAUUUUUUUAAAAGAUGAUGGAUGUUUACUGAACUUACUGUGAUAAUCACUUCAUGAUAUAUAUAAAUCAAACCACUAUGCUGUACACUUUAAAAAAAAAAAAGAAAUUUAAAAUAGAAUUACCAAGAGUUCCUGUCAUGGCUCAGCAGAAAUGAAUCUGACUAGUAUCCAUGAGGAUGCAGGUUUGAUUCCUGGCCUCACUCAGUGGGUUAAGGAUCUGGUAUUGCUGUGAGCUGUAGUGUAGGUUGCAGACCUGACUGGGAUCCUGAGUUGCUAUGGCUGUGGUGUAAGCCAGUGGCUAUAGCUCUGAUUUGACCCCUAGCCUGGAAAUCUCCACAUGCUGUGAGUGCAGCCCUAAAAAGCCAAAAAAAAAAAAAAAAAAAAAAAAA